rnacentral:rRNA from 1 species
UACGUAGGGUGCAAGCGUUGUCCGGAAUUAUUGGGCGUAAAGAGCUCGUAGGCGGUCUGUCACGUCUGCCGUGAAAACUCGGGGCUUAACCCCGGGCCUGCAGUGGGUACGGGCAGACUAGAGUGCGGUAGGGGAGACUGGAAUUCCUGGUGUAGCGGUGAAAUGCGCAGAUAUCAGGAGGAACACCGGUGGCGAAGGCGGGUCUCUGGGCCGUAACUGACACUGAGGCGCGAAAGCGUGGGGAGCGAACAGG